rnacentral:ncRNA from 1 species
AGAACUGCAAUUCUGAUAAGAGGAAUGAAGGAAUCAUGGUUUCCUGAAACUCUUACGUUAAACCUACGAGGUAGCAUUACAGAAGUAGUAAUGUUAUAAGCCCGUUGAAGUCGGCAGAAGGUUAAGAGCUAGAAAUAGAAGUUAGCUGAUAUGCCGGAUGGCUAUAAA